GUUCGGGUGGCGGAAUUGGCAGACGCGUUAGGUUGAGGGCCUAAUGGAGUAAUAUCCGUGCGGGUUCAAAUCCCGCCCCGAAUACCA
rnacentral:tRNA from 1 species